CCGCGUUCCCAGGGUGUCCUUGCCCUCCAUGUCUAUGGAGACCCUAGUGUGUCUCUAGGGCUCCGCGAAAGUGGCUGCUGUCUCCAGGUCCCUCUGUCCCCACCUGUGUGUGGGGGGUGGUCCCAGAAGGUCCCUGAUGGCACCGCGCUUUACAGUACGUAGAGUGCAUCUUCGUGUCACCAUUCCUGCCGCUAUCAAGCUCUUCAGAACAAUCAAAAACCGAGGUAGCGGAGUCAGACGACUGGUCCAGGUCUGGCUGGACCGCGGGGGCCUAGACAGGCUGAGAGCCAGGUGCGCCUCCGGUCACGUGCAGAAGAGGGCGCCAAGGGCCCGCCACCGGACCAGGCGUCCGGAUCUACCCACCUCCGCGGCUCGGGUGAGGCUCCAGCCCGAAGCUUCGUAGCCUCCUGGAGGAGGAGAGGAGCGCGGAGAGGAACUGGGCCCGGGGUGUCCGGGAGGAGUGGCGGGGAGAGGAGAAGAAAGGUCUGAACUCAAGAUUUCAAUUCCGAAAGCUCAGCUGCCUCUCCUAGCUGUGUGACCUCUGAUGUGAGGUCUGACCUCUCUGCGCUUUAUCUGUAAUUAUGGAAAUAAAAUUCCCGCCCCCCGCCACCACUUUAGCCCAGCCCGCCAAAGACUCCUAAGCGCACAAAUGAGGUGGUUGAUUCAGGCUCGCUGUGCAAACGCUAAAGCCCCAUUCACAGCCUUCGCUCCGGCCGGAGGGUGCUAGAAGUCGCCUCCAACUUCUGCAGACUCGGGGAGCUCGGGAAGCCAGAACAGCUCGAGAAGCCAAAGAACCCGAAUGCUCUGGCCGACCCACCCCGUUCCCGCCUGGUGGCAUAGCCGGGGCUCAGAGAGGUUAGGGAGCCAUCCCCAGGCGGCACAGCAGGCCAAGGACGCCUCCCAUGACAGCUUCAGCGCGGGAUGCCUCCUCGAGUGGAGAAGAGCAGCCCUCUCGCUGCGCGGAGUUCAGCCCCGUCUACACCGCCAGAACUGGAGAGCCGAGCCGGAGAAAAGCAAAUUCAACCCGAGGGACCUCAGUCGAGGUGCGGGUGUCGGGCAGGUCCCCUGCCGCCGGGCUUCUCCGCACCCAGUCCUCUCGCCUCGGCGUCUCCCUCCGACCCUGUCCCGGGCCUCCACCUUCCUGACCUCUCCUGUCUGUCCGGGCUUCUGCGUAUCCCUCUCCCUGUCUCUUCCCUACGUUCCGACCUUGAGUACCGUGAUUACUGGUUCCACACCGGCUGGCUGAGCCACUUUCUCUGUCCCUGCAUCCGAUCUCUGCCUCCCCAUGAAGCUGCCCCUCCCACCCCGGCGAAGGAACACACACCGGCAGAAUCCGCCUUUUCAAUAAAAAACUACAACUGGGAAACAGUGAAUUAAAAAGCAUUAACUUAAAAACAAU
rnacentral:lncRNA from 1 species